GAGCCCUACAGAGAGAGGAGGGCCGAUUCAUUUGUGUGUUCUUGCAAACAGUGGACGUGAUGUUCAGCUCUGAAAUCGCUGUGCUUGUUUAACCGCAUCUAUCUGUGCAGAGAACAUCACCACCUGCUGACCGAAAAUGGUGGUUGAGGGUCACCAGUGGAUGUGUUGGUUUUUUUUUUUUUGUUACCUUUCCCUUCCGGAGCAGACGUCUGAUCUCCACUCGGUCCAGGUGCCAGCCCGGGUUGACCCCCCGGUUGUCAUGGCCGAUCCGGAUCUUUUCAAUUACAUCCCCCACAUCUUCUAGCUGCGCAGAAAGCAGAAAUAAACGACCUGAAUGCAUUGAA